rnacentral:pre_miRNA from 1 species
CCAUACUUGACUCCAAUGAUUCUGUGUAUUUUGAAUACGCUCAGCGGGAAUACCCGCUGAGCGUAUUCAAAAUACACAGAAACAUUGGAGUCAAGUGUGGG